GAAGUUGCGGAGCUUUACCAUGCAGUCGGGCGGCAGCGCGGGGGCAACCCUGGCGGCGAGCGGCGAACGGGUGAGUAAUGUAUCGGAACGUACCUCGUCGUGGGGGAUAACGCAGCGAAAGUUGUGCUAAUACCGCAUACGUCCUGAGGGAGAAAGCGGGGGAUCGCAAGACCUCGCGCGAUGGGAGCGGCCGAUAUCUGAUUAGCUAGUUGGUGGGGUAAAGGCUCACCAAGGCGACGAUCAGUAGCUGGUCUGAGAGGACGACCAGCCACACUGGGACUGAGACACGGCCCAGACUCCUACGGGAGGCAGCAGUGGGGAAUUUUGGACAAUGGGGGCAACCCUGAUCCAGCCAUUCCGCGUGAGUGAAGAAGGCCUUCGGGUUGUAAAGCUCUUUCGGUGGGAACGAAACGGCUCCUGUAAAUAGCGGGGGCUAAUGACGGUACCCAAAGAAGAAGCACCGGCUAACUACGUGCCAGCAGCCGCGGUAAUACGUAGGGUGCGAGCGUUAAUCGGAAUUACUGGGCGUAAAGCGUGCGCAGGCGGUUAUUUAAGACAGAUGUGAAAUCCCCGGGCUCAACCUGGGAACUGCGUUUGUGACUGGAUAGCUGGAGUAUGGCAGAGGGGGGUGGAAUUCCACGUGUAGCAGUGAAAUGCGUAGAGAUGUGGAGGAACACCAAUGGCGAAGGCAGCCCCCUGGGCCAAUACUGACGCUCAUGCACGAAAGCGUGGGGAGCAAACAGGAUUAGAUACCCUGGUAGUCCACGCCCUAAACGAUGCGAACUAUGUGUUGGGGAAGGAGACUUUCUUAGUACCGCAGCUAACGCGUGAAGUUCGCCGCCUGGGGAGUACGGUCGCAAGAUUAAAACUCAAAGGAAUUGACGG
rnacentral:rRNA from 1 species